GACGAACGCUGGCGGCGUGCCUAAUACAUGCAAGUAGAACGCUGAAGGAGGAGCUUGCUCUUCUGGAUGAGUUGCGAACGGGUGAGUAACGCGUAGGUAACCUGCCUGGUAGCGGGGGAUAACUAUUGGAAACGAUAGCUAAUACCGCAUAACAGUAGAUGUUGCAUGACAUUUGCUUAAAAGGUGCAAUUGCAUCACUACCAGAUGGACCUGCUUUGUAUUAGCUAGUUGGUGGGGUAACGGCUCACCAAGGCGACGAUACAUAGCCGACCUGAGAGGGGGAUCGGCCACACUGGGACUGGGGCAACGCCCAGACUCCUACGGGAGGCAGCAGUAGGGGAUCUUCGGCAAUGGACGGAAGUCUGACCGAGCAACGCCGCGUGAGUGAAGAAGGUUUUCGGAUCGUAAAGCUCUGUUGUAAGAGAAGAACGAGUGUGAGAGUGGAAAGUUCACACUGUGACGGUAUCUUACCAGAAAGGGACGGCUAACUACGUG
rnacentral:rRNA from 1 species